AACAGGAUUAGAUACCCUGGUAGUCCACGCCGUAAACGAUGUCGACUUGGAGGUUGUGCCCUUGAGGCGUGGCUUCCGGAGCUAACGCGUUAAGUCGACCGCCUGGGGAGUACGGCCGCAAGGUUAAAACUCAAAUGAAUUGACGGGGGCCCGCACAAGCGGUGGAGCAUGUGGUUUAAUUCGAUGCAACGCGAAGAACCUUACCUGGUCUUGACAUCCACGGAAUUUGGCAGAGAUGCCUUAGUGCCUUCGGGAACCGUGAGACAGGUGCUGCAUGGCUGUCGUCAGCUCGUGUUGUGAAAUGUCGGGUUAAGUCCCGCAACGAGCGCAACCCUUAUCCUUUGUUGCCAGCGGUCCGGCCGGGAACUCAAAGGAGACUGCCAGUGAUAAACUGGAGGAAGGUGGGGAUGACGUCAAGUCAUCAUGGCCCUUACGAGUAGGGCUACACACGUGCUACAAUGGCAUAUACAAAGAGAAGCGACCUCGCGAGAGCAAGCGGACCUCAUAAAGUAUGUCGUAGUCCGGAUUGGAGUCUGCAACUCGACUCCAUGAAGUCGGAAUCGCUAGUAAUCGUGGAUCAGAAUGCCACGGUGAAUACGUUCCCGGGCCUUGUACACACCGCCCGUCACACCAUGGGAGUGGGUUGCAAAAGAAGUAGGUAGCUUAACCUUCGGGAGGGCGCUUACCACUUUGUGACUCAUGACUGGGGUGAAGUCGUAACAAGGUAACC
rnacentral:rRNA from 1 species